GUUAGUGUAGCAAAAUCUGGAAUUGCAAAAGGCCUAAACCCUUUCCAUAGAAGUUCAAAUCCUCUCCCUAACU
rnacentral:tRNA from 1 species